UACGUAGGGUGCGAGCGUUAAUCGGAAUUACUGGGCGUAAAGCGUGCGCAGGCGGUUCGUGAUGUCUGAUGUGAAAGCCCCGGGCUCAACCUGGGAAUUGCAUUGGAAACUAGCGGGCUGGAGUGUGGCAGAGGGGGGUGGAAUUCCACGUGUAGCAGUGAAAUGCGUAGAGAUGUGGAGGAACACCGAUGGCCGAAGGCAGCCCCCCUGGGCUAACACUGACGCUCAUGGCACGAAAGCGUGGGGAGCAAACAGG
rnacentral:rRNA from 1 species